UACGUAGGGUGCGAGCGUUGUCCGGAAUUAUUGGGCGUAAAGAGCUUGUAGGCGGUUUGUCGCGUCUGCCGUGAAAAUCCGGGGCUCAACCCCGGACUUGCGGUGGGUACGGGCAGACUAGAGUGUGGUAGGGGAGACUGGAAUUCCUGGUGUAGCGGUGAAAUGCGCAGAUAUCGGGAAGAACACCCGUGGCGAAGGCGGUUCUCUAGGACGGUACUGACGCUGAGACGCGAAAGCGUGGGGAGCGAACAGG
rnacentral:rRNA from 1 species